GCGAGGGUUGCCGAGCCAGGCCAAAGGCGUUAGGUUCAGGGCCUAAUCUCGUAGGAGUUCGAGCGUUCGAAUCGCUCCCCUCGCA
rnacentral:tRNA from 1 species